rnacentral:rRNA from 1 species
UACGAAGGGGGCUAGCGUUGCUCGGAAUCACUGGGCGUAAAGGGUGCGUAGGCGGGUCUUUAAGUCAGGGGUGAAAUCCUGGAGCUCAACUCCAGAACUGCCUUUGAUACUGAGGAUCUUGAGUCCGGGAGAGGUGAGUGGAACUGCGAGUGUAGAGGUGAAAUUCGUAGAUAUUCGCAAGAACACCAGUGGCGAAGGCGGCUCACUGGCCCGGUACUGACGCUGAGGCACGAAAGCGUGGGAGCAAACAGGG